rnacentral:rRNA from 1 species
AUUGAACGCUAGCGGGAUGCCUUACACAUGCAAGUCGAACGGAGUGGCGGACGGGUGAGUAAUGCCUAGGAAUCUGCCUGGUAGUGGGGGAUAACGUCCGGAAACGGGCGCUAAUACCGCAUACUAUUGGAGCGGCCGAUAUCGGAUUAGCUAGUUGGUGGGGUAACGGCUCACCAAGGCGACGAUCCGUAGCUGGUUUGAGAGGACGACCAGCCACACUGGGACUGAGACACGGCCCAGACUCCUACGGGAGGCAGCAGUGGGGAAUUUUGGACAAUGGGGGAAACCCUGAUCCAGCCAUCCCGCGUGUGCGAUGAAGGCCUUCGGGUUGUAAAGCACUUUUGGCAGGAAAGCGGUACCUGCAGAAUAAGCACCGGCUAACUACGUGCCAGCAGCCGCGGUAAUUC